CUCUGCUUGUAGCUCUAGUUGGUUAGAGCGCUCUUCCAGAAUCGCAGGGACGCAGGUUCGAUUCCUGCAGGAGGGC